AGACAAUGAGUUAAAGUGUGACUUGGUGUCAGAAGGAUUAACCCUAACAGCUCAUGUCUGGCAGGACCGUGGCUUUGUGCUGCUGGAAGAAACAACAGGGGUCAGAAGUUGCUCUUGAAGACAUGGGGACCAAAGAUCAAAGAAGACACUCUGGAUCAAAUCAUGUUCUGGAAGCAAGGGGUCGAAAUGACCUGGAGAGUUCAGAAGACUCCAGCUGCCUGCCAGCAUCUGAGCCGGAAAUUUCAGAGCCAAAGUGAACCUUGUGCCUUGAUCUCGGCUACCCCAGCCCGCAGGCAGUAUACGCCCAUCUAAAACUGCUGUUUAAAAGCUAGAUGUGAACUGGGGGUGUAGCUCGUUGAUAGAGUGCCUGCCGUAGCAUGCAGAAAGUCCUGAAUUCGAUUCCCAGAUCACAUAGCAUGGGGCACUGUGGCACACAAGUGAUCCUAGCACUUAGGGGGUAGAAGCUGGAAGACCAGAAGUUCAAGUUUGUCCUCAACUGGCUAUUCAGAGCAUUGGAUGCAAAACCGGACUACAUGAGACCCUGUCUCAAGAAAACAGCAAAAACUCACAAACCAGAUAUGAGAUCAUUCACCUGUGAGGUGACUCAGAGGGUGUUCCAUAUUGGGUGGCAAUUCACUGAGGCACUUGUCCCUGCUCAGGGACAGAGAGAAGGGAAUAGAGGAAGCAGGAAGGGCUGAGGAACAGCAGUAAUGCGUACAGGAAUUUGGUGUCUCACCAUAAAUCCUAACAGCAACAAUGAGAAGUGCUUUCUCGUCGUUUUCCUUUUCCUUGCUGUGUGUCUGCACCCUGGAGCGGUGCAGGAAUGGUCAUGGCUAGGGCAUUCCAGGAGCCAUCCUGAAUUCUGGGCCACUAAUAGAUGGGGAGCUGGUAGGGCCAGUGAUUCACACUGAGCCCAGUUCUUUGUCUGGUGGAGACCAAGUAGGAGGUAUUGCUGGCUCCAUUCUGAGCUAAUUCUUAGGCUCCAAGGUUGAAACCUCAUCAGUAGACAUCAGGUUUUAAGAUGAAGCCUAAUAAUCUCACUACAAAAGUCAGGUCGCCCCAAAUUGUCUAAAGGUUGGCAAGGGAGACUCCUGCAUCCAAACCAAGUGUAAAUGGCAGCUUCUGACGAAGCUGGGUGACAGGCUGGUGUGGGUGGUGUUUGAGGUGGGUGGCAGAGGGAUCCUUCUGUCCUUUCACUCCCUCUCCUUUUGGCUCUUGCUUCCUUUCUCAAGCUUGCUCCCGACUUCCUAUUUUCAUGAAGCCCUUGCCCAAUAAACUACU